AGACGACGGGUGAGUAUGCAUAGGAAUCUACCUAGUAGUAUGGGAUAGCCACUAGAAAUGGUGGGUAAUACUGUAUAAUCCCUGCGGGGGAAAGAUUUAUCGCUAUUAGAUGAGCCUAUGUUAGAUUAGCUAGUUGGUAGGGUAAAGGCCUACCAAGGCAGUGAUCUAUAGCUGGUCUGAGAGGAUGAUCAGCCACACUGGAACUGAGAUACGGUCCAGACUCCUACGGGAGGCAGCAGUGGGGAAUAUUGGACAAUGGGCGCAAGCCUGAUCCAGCUAUGCCGCGUGAGUGAGGAAGGCCUUAGGGUUGUAAAACUCUUUCAGUGGGGAAGAUAAUGACGGUACCCACAGAAGAAGUCCGGGGCCAAACUCCAA
rnacentral:rRNA from 1 species